GCCUCUGGCUUUUCAUUUCCUAAACUAUGACAAGAAAGUACAAAGGAACUCAAGCUGAUUACUAAAAGUCAGUCCAUGUUUGUAAGUAGAAGUUUCUGCAGAAAGUCAUGAAAUGUUAGUGAAAAUAGUUCAACAUCAGCGUAAUGAACUACAAUAAACUUUAGCCCAAUCUUGAUGUGAGGAUGUGUGUAAUUUGGCAUUUGUUGGUAGGAGAAAUUAUGUCAUCAACUUUAAGUUUCUUAUUAGAAGGCAGGUAGUAGGAAAUUUAUCAACUUGAAAUUUGUGUAACUAGUACACAUUGUUAAAGUCCCCUGGAUACCACACA
rnacentral:misc_RNA from 1 species